CAGGGGCCAACUAUGCCAACUAAAUCCUUUUCCCCUGUGGGUUACAAACAGCAGCUUCUUGGUAGCCUAUAUGGCCUGUUGCCUAUGUGAGUUGCCCUAAGGCACCUUGGAGAUGAUU
ensembl:snoRNA SNORA70 Small nucleolar RNA SNORA70